rnacentral:rRNA from 1 species
CCUACGGGAGGCAGCAGUAGGGAAUCUUCCACAAUGGGCGAAAGCCUGAUGGAGCAACGCCGCGUGGGUGAAGAAGGUCUUCGGAUCGUAAAACCCUGUUGUUAGAGAAGAAAGUGCGUGAGAGUAACUGUUCACGUUUCGACGGUAUCUGACCAGAAAGCACCGGCUAACUACGUGCCAGCAGCCGCGGUAAUACGUAGGUGGCAAGCGUUAUCCGGAUUUAUUGGGCGUAAAGGUCACGCAGGCGGUCUUUUAAGUCUGAUGUGAAAGCCCUCGGCUUAACCGGAGUAGUGCAUUGGAAACUGGUAGACUUGAGUGCAGAAGAGGAGAGUGGAACUCCAGGUGUAGCGGUGAAAGGCGUAGAUAUAUGGAAGAACACCAGUGGCGAAAGCGGCUCUCUGGUCUGUAACUGACGCUGAGGUUCGAAAGCGUGGGUAGCAAACAGGAUUAGAUACCCUGGUAGUC